UACGUAGGGUGCGAGCGUUAAUCGGAAUUACUGGGCGUAAAGCGUGCGCAGCGGCGCGUUAAGACAGGUGUGAAAGCCCCGAGCUUAACUUGGGAAUUGCGCUUGUGACUGGCGUGCUGGAGUGUGGCAGAGGGAGGUGGAAAUUCCACGUGUAGCAGUGAAAUGCGUAGAUAUCGUGAGGAAGACCAGUGGCGAAGGCGGGGUCUCUGGACAGUUCCUGACGCUGGAGGCGCGAAGGCCAGGGGAGCAAACGGG
rnacentral:rRNA from 1 species